rnacentral:rRNA from 1 species
UGGGGAAUAUUGCACAAUGGGCGCAAGCCUGAUGCAGCCAUGCCGCGUGUAUGAAGAAGGCCUUCGGGUUGUAAAGUACUUUCAGCGGGGAGGAAGGGAGUAAAGUUAAUACCUUUGCUCAUUGACGUUACCCGCAGAAGAAGCACCGGCUAACUCCGUGCCAGCAGCCGCGGUAAUACGGAGGGUGCAAGCGUUAAUCGGAAUUACGGGGCGUAAAGCGCACGCAGGCGGUUUGUUAAGUCAGAUGUGAAAUCCCCGGGCUCAACCUGGGAACUGCAUCUGAUACUGGCAAGCUUGAGUCUCGUAGAGGGGGGUAGAAUUCCAGGUGUAGCGGUGAAAUGCGUAGAGAUCUGGAGGAAUACCGGUGGCGAAGGCGGCCCCCUGGACGAAGACUGACGCUCAGGUGCGAAAGCGUGGGGAGCAAACA